AUUGAACGCUGGCGGCAGGCCUAACACAUGCAAGUCGAGCGAGCGGCGGACGGGUGAGUCAUGUCUGGGAAACUGCCUGAUGGAGGGGGAUAACUACUGGAAACGGUAGCUACUCCCGCAUACCAUCAGAUGUGCCCAGAGGGGAUUCGUUAGUAGGUGGGGUAAUGGCCCACCUAGGCGACGAUCCCUAGCUGGUCUGAGAGGAUGACCAGCCACACUGGAACGGAGACACGGUCCAGACUCCUACGGGAGGCAGCAGUGGGGAAUAUUGCACAAUGGGCGCAAGCCUGAUGCAGCCAUGCCGCGUGUAUGAAGAAGGCCUUCGGGUUGUAAAGUACUUUCAGCGAGGAGGCGUUACUCGCAGAAGAAGCACCGGCUAACUCCGUGCCAGCAGCCGCGGUAAUUC
rnacentral:rRNA from 1 species